UCACAUAAUCAACUUCAUGGUUCUUGUGGUUGAUUCAAAUUGACCCUUGCAGAUAAUGCUGUUUAAAGGGACACAACUUUUUAUGGGGUUACUUGUAGGUUUGGCAUAAGAAAUGAAAGCAUACAAAUUAUGUAUCAAUCAUAUGGUUUGUAUACAUUUUGGGGCAUAACAAUUAUCAUCUUUAGUUGUGAUACCCCAUUUUAAUAAGGGUAGGUAGUGUAUGUCCAGUUAAAUUUUUGUGAGAGCUUUUAGCUUUUUCUCUUAAUAAACGAUGAAAUUUACAUCAUCUAGGAACAAGCUGAAGUUCUCGACUAUGUAUAUCUAAAGUUUACAUGAGCAUCAUCAAUGCUCUAUUCCUUUGAAUGAUUCCAUAUUCACUACAAACCCUGCUAAGUAAUCACUCUCCACCUCACAUUUACCUCUUAGGCAGACAAGUAAAUAUUCACAAUCUUUCCAAAAGUAGCUACAGAUCACCACCUCUGAUUUACCUCCUGCAAUUUGACAAACCCUAUGAACUCCAACCAACUUAAUUUUUUCCUCCUGUAAUGAUGCAACUGAUCUCUUCCACAACCGAAAUAUUUAACUCUCUCUCUCCAGGGUAGGCUUCGCUUAUUCACUCUUACAUGCUGCUCCUUCAAAACACUUAUCUUCUCUUGAAAAAUCAGUCACCCUCUCUUGAACAGAAAAUCAAUCGAUGAACAUUUUCAUAUAAAUCAUAGUUUUUUUUAUUAUCAUAUCGAGGACAGUCAGAUAUGCCAAUGGGUUCAAUCAUUGACCACUCUAGAAAUUGAUAAUUGCAAAUAUAGGACUCAUCCUUCAGCAGAUAUAAGAACAAUUAGGCCUGGUUUGGUUUCACAAACCAUCUCAUCCUAUCUCAUCUCAACAUCCAAACACCAUUCAAACACAAACAUUUUUCAAUUUUAAAUUUUUAACUUUUUCAUUUAAUGGGCUGAGUUUACAUCAUUUCUUAGUAUCUUUUUCUAUUUCUAAUUAGGUGUUCCUCUUGUAUAUGUACUUGGGCAAUGUCUACUUCUUUUGACGUUACCAUUAUGGCGUUGUAGUGGAUGAUAUAGGGUAUUGUUGACAACAUUUAAGCAGGGCAUAGCAUGAACUUGCUACUUUAUAGUAGGGAUCAAUCAAUACAAUCUUUCUGAAGAAGUGUUAGUAUUGAACUUAACAGUAACUUGUUGUAUGAAGAUCAUGCUGUUGUCAGGUUCAUCAAUACCCUCAGCCUUUAUAUUAUGGAUCAUGAGAGAAUUACCCCCAUCAGUAGUAGGUAACAUACGAGAAGCAAGUACAAUAGCUUUCAUUGCUGAUAGUUCACCUUCAGUGCAUCAUCCUUGGUGCUGGACAGCUGCAACACAGAAUCAGAUAUCAAGAGCCAGUCCUAUAUAAUUGACUUUCUGAAUGCAAAUGACUGCUCGCUUUCUGAUAGAUUAGUGAAGAAGGCUGAGAUUUAUGAACGGAGAAUGGUGUGAAUAUGACACUGAGAUGAGAUUAAAACAGACUGCUGAGUUCCAUCCUUUGAUGGCAGUCGGAGUACGACCUCAAGGUUGCUGAUUGCCGCGGUUUUGACAUUAUUGGCAUGUGUUAGUAGUGUGUGCCCUUCCAAACAUACUGUUGUAAGUUUUGAUAUCAUAAAGAAAUUUAUAGACCUAACUCAUCUCUUAAAAUCGGUUCAAAUAAAGAGGUUUGCUUCAACUUUAUAAGUA